rnacentral:rRNA from 1 species
GUAAUUCCAGCUCCAAUAGCGUAUAUUAAAGUUGCUGCAGUUAAAAAGCUCGUAGUUGGAUCUCGGGAGUGGGCUGGCGGUCCGCCGCGAGGCGAGCCACCGCCUGUCCCGGACCCUGCCUCCCGGCGCCCCCCGGAUGCCCUUAACUGGGUGUCCGGUCACCUCGGGGCCCGGAGCGUUUACUUUGAAAAAAUUAGAGUGUUCAAAGCAGGCCGCCCGUCGCCGCUGAAUACCGCAGCUAGGAAUAAUGGAAUAGGACUCCGGUUCUAUUUUGUGGGUUUCUGGAACCCGGGGCCAUGAUUAAGAGGGACGGCCGGGGGCAUUCGUAUUGCGCCGCUAGAGGUGAAAUUCUUGGACCGGCGCAAGACGGACGAAAGCGAA